GACGAACGCUGGCGGCGUGCCUAAUACAUGCAAGUAGAACGCUGAAGGAGGAGCUUGCUCUUCUGGAUGAGUUGCGAACGGGUGAGUAACGCGUAGGUAACCUGCCUGGUAGCGGGGGAUAACUAUUGGAAACGAUAGCUAAUACCGCAUAACAGUAGAUGUUGCAUGACAUUUACUUAAAAGGUGCAAUUGCAUCACUACCAGAUGGACCUGCGUUGUAUUAGCUAGUUGGUGGGGUAACGGCUCACCAAGGCGACGAUACAUAGCCGACCGGAGAAGGUGAUCGGCCACACUGGGACGGAGACACGGCCCAGACUCCUACGGGAGGCAGCAGUAGGGAAUCGUCGGCAAUGGACGGAAGUCUGACCGAGCAACGCCGCGUGAGUGAAGAAGGUUGUCGGAUCGUAAAGCUCUGUUGUAAGAGAAGAACGAGUGUGAGAGUGGAAAGUUCACACUGUGACGGUAUCUGACCAGAAAGGGACGGCUAACUACGUG
rnacentral:rRNA from 1 species